UGGUCAUUGCGUACUCCCAGACGUGGCCCAUGACAGGAGCAUCUGCCAUAGAAUGCUCCACGUUGAGGCCACACUGACCGUCCGGGAAGAAGAACACAUUGACGCUUUUAUCACACCUGAGGAACAAGAACCAUUACUCAGCGAUGGUUGUACAAGUGCAAGGUACACAACUGCACUGAACCAAAGCCUGGCAGUUAGUAAUAAUGGUAAGAUGGAAUGUUGUGGUCCUCUCACUCAUCAUUAGCGUUCAUGCUCUAUGCAAUUUUUAAAUCUUGUGAUCUACAAAAUAACAGAGUUUGCUAAGAAGUCACAAAACUACUCAUGGUUUGUAACAGAGAGAGAGAGAGAGAGAGAGAGAGAGAGAGAGAGAGAGAGAGAGAGAGAGAGAGAGAGAGAGAGAGAGAGAGAGAGACCUCCCUGUAAAGACAGUACAAACACACACAGCAACACUCAAAUCCUCGGAUCCUAAUACAAUUCAAUGAAGCACCACAAGAAAAGAUAAAAAAACAAACAUUUCUACAAGGGAUUAGUACAAGAAAAAAACAUACAUAGUACACUGAAUAAAGAGAACAAGAAACAUAACAUUACAUGCCACAAUAAUUCCUCUAACCUGAAUAGUGACUGUGUUGUGUCAUGCAGAAACCACAAGAGUUAAUCAAGAGGUGGGACUAACCAUGCACACUGCCUUGUUGAUAAGAUCCAUGUUGUCUUUGUUAAUGCCUGACUUAAAGUUUUCUCUCAGGAUUCGUGCCCACUCCGUCCUGGGGAGACCAGUGAGAGCCGCAACGCUGCGUUCACUCUCACUCACACUCUCUGCCAAUGAUGACAAAGAUGGGCAAAGAUGAGACAAGAGAGAGAGAAAGUAAGAAAACACAAACUGAAACAAGAGUAGUGGUGUAAUAUAGGUGUCCUUGGAUUAUAAGAGUCUCAAUUGUAACUCCUCAACUCUCCCUAACAAGAGGUGGUGAGAGGAUACAAUGUGAAGCGAGAGGAGUGGUGCACUUGAAUUACCAAGGCUCCCAUACGCUUUUACUCACAAUCUGCCAACAAUGAAUACAGUUGUGCAGAGAUGAGAUAAAGAAGAGACAGAGGUAAUCAGGGAAUGUCUAGGCUGACACAGGAGUAUAUAUGUAAAAAUGUGUAUAGGUGUGCCAAGAUUACAGGGCACACAAUUCUAUCUCCUGAGUUUUGGAUGAUGGAGUUACAAAAGAUAGAAAGUAGGUGGUGGAAGAUUGGUGAUAGGACGAAAGUAGAAAUUAAAAUGGAGGUUGAAAA